GACGAACGCUGGCGGCGUGCUUAACACAUGCAAGUCGAACGGAAAGGCCCUGCUUUUGUGGCGUGCUCGAUUGGCGAACGGGUGAGUAACACGUGAGUAACCUGCCCUUGUCUUUGGGAUAACUUCAGGAAACUGGGGCUAAUACCGGAUAGGAGCUCCUGCUGCAUGGUGGGGGUUGGAAAGUUUCGGCGGUUGGGGAUGGACUCGCGGCGUAUCAGCUUGUUUGUGGGGUAGUGGCUUACCAAGGCUUGGACGGGUACCGGGCCUGAGAGGGUGACCGGCCGCACUGGCACCUAGGUGAGGCCGCAAUACGUACGGGAGGGAGCAGUGCGGAAGACUGACGGAUGGGCGGAGCGCGGGUGAAGCAGCGCCUCGUGCCGGAUAACGGUGUUAGGGGUGUAGAACAAAUGCGUCAGUGACGAAGCGCGUGUUGACGGUAUCGGUACAGAAGGCCCCGCCAAACAAGUU
rnacentral:rRNA from 1 species